UACGUAGGGGGCAAGCGUUAUCCGGAUUCAUUGGGCGUAAAGCGCUCGUAGGCGGUCUGUUAGGUCGGGAGUUAAAUCCGGAGGCUCAACCUCCGUUCGCUCCCGAUACCGGCAGACUUGAGUUUGGUAGGGGAAGGUGGAAUUCCUAGUGUAGCGGUGGAAUGCGCAGAUAUUAGGAAGAACACCAGUGGCGAAGGCGGCCUUCUGGGCCACAACUGACGCUGAGGAGCGAAAGCUAGGGGAGCAAACAGG
rnacentral:rRNA from 1 species